CCUCCUGGCAACUCUGGCCACACACAAUCCACCAGUGAUGAAACAACACAGAGACAAGUAACGACACAAGACAACCAAUAUACGCACACCCCCCUCCGGACACAGAACGAACGCCACAUACCAUAACCCCACGAAUGCUCAUGGGACACGACACAUGACAAACACACCCACGAGACAGCACCCUAGAGACGGUUCCCACACAACACACCACCCAACAGACCGCUGACCCCACGCAUCAGACUGCC